AGAAGCCCUAAUGAAACCAGACAGGGUUUGGCUAAGCAGCUGCUGUGCUCCUUUGGGUUUGUACUGGGUAAGAGUCUGGCACAGCUGGCCACAACUGUAAAUUUUGUAACACUGCUGUGAUCCUGUGACCAAAAGAAGGCAGCUAAAAGCAAUGGCCUAAACAGCCUGAUGAAGGUACAAGUUUGCCAGGUCUUGAAAUGACUGAUAAGAAAGCGUGCUGUGCCUAUGUUUUUUCCAGCAGUGAGAUUGCAAGUGAAAAUCAACAGCAGAGACAGAAGCUUCCAGGCAGGAUGACUCACAGAUGUGCCUGCAUCAUCUCUGACUAAAUAAUAUUUAUUCAGUGAACUGACAGAUGUAUCAGUGGAUACUACAAUGAAUUCCAGUGCAAGAGAGGAAGAGUCCUCCACGCCUGUCACUACUUCAGUGUUAAAAAGCAGAGUGUCCUCAUAUGUAAAUCCACAAGAGUAGAAAAAGUUUUGUUGGGCCAUAUAAUCCAACCCUCUGUUAAAAAUUCCUGCACAAAAGACGUCUAUAUAUUUCAUAGCAGAUAAAAUUCUCCACCUUCAGCAAAACUGAAAUACCCGUCUGGAGGAACCCACAAAUAAAACAAGAGUCCAUGAAGACGGCUGACAUGAGUCACCAGGAGCUGGGCUGUUUCUCUUGUGGAAGGCAAGUGAACAAUGGGGAUGAAGUGCACCAUUUUUGUCAAUUGGUUGACCACGAGAAUCUCCAUUAUACUGAAGAGGAAUUUUUGCUACUGAAAUAAUCUAUUUUUGCUAUUUAAAUAAUUCUAGCCUUGCAUCUAGAACUUGUGGGGCAGGGAGAGGGUUAAAAUAAACUGCAAACCCCAGCCAUAUUGUAGCAAAAAUAAAUAAAUCAUCCAGAAAAUGAAACUUUACAUAGCAAAACUAUAUAAUUUUUAGUGAUGAGGGAGUGGUGAGUACAA